rnacentral:rRNA from 1 species
GCUGGCGGCGUGCCUAACACAUGCAAGUCGAAACGGAACUUCUUUUAAAAGGGAUUUUCUUCGGAAUGAAUUUGAUUAAGUUUAGUGGCGGACGGGUGAGUAACGCGUGAGUAACCUGCCUCUGAGAGGGGAAUAACAUUCUGAAAAGAAUGCUAAUACCGCAUAACAUAUAUUUAUCGCAUGGUAGAUAUAUCAAAGAUUUAUCGCUUAGAGAUGGACUCGCGUCCGAUUAGUUAGUUGGUGAGGUAACGGCUCACCAAGACUGCGAUCGGUAGCCGGACUGAGAGGUUGAACGGCCACAUUGGGACUGAGACACGGCCCAGACUCCUACGGGAGGCAGCAGUGGGGGAUAUUGCGCAAUGGGGGAAACCCUGACGCAGCAACGCCGCGUGAAGGAUGAAGGUCUUCGGAUUGUAAACUUCUUUUAUUAAGGACGAAGAAAGUGACGGUACUUAAUGAAUAAGCUCCGGCUAACUACGUG